rnacentral:tRNA from 1 species
GGUUCAUUAGUGUAGUGGUUAUCAUAUUGGACUUUGAAUCCAGUGACCCGAGUUCGAAUCUCGGAUGGACCA